UGGAAAUUGUUCAUCAGGAAAAGUAAGGCCCCUCCCUUAGAUUUUUAGCUGGUCAGUUUAUCCACUGGGGAGAGAAGCAAGAUCCUGUGCUAUUGCUGUUAGUGGUUCUGUCCUAGAUUGAGCCAUGGGAAUAACUGUAUGCAUAUUCUCAUGACUUGGCCAUUGAUUGAGUGUGACAUGCUACACAUCAUUGGUGAUAGAGAAAUUUAUACUAUUUGACUUUUGUGGAAAACUUUUAAUAACAUUUGCGUGCAUGUGUGUGUGAAGCACAGUGCCAGAUGGCACCUAUGGAUUUGUAAUUAAGUCAUAUGUUCAUUUUCUUUUCCUUCCUUUAUCUUUGAUGGAGUAUCUGGAUAAAAGUUCUUUGGCUUUUGUAGGUCUGCACCAGACUUUCUGAAAGG
rnacentral:misc_RNA from 1 species